rnacentral:lncRNA from 1 species
CACUUUUUAUAUUCAUAGAAGAUACUAUGUCUUGAACUAAUGCGCAUGUGCAGUUAAGGAUGGGUUAGAGUAUAAUAUGAACGUGUACCAAGCUAAAUUCUGCUAUCAAGUUAUAACUUUAAAAGAUUCCUAAUAUAUCAAUUGUGUUCACUUUUGACCUGCAAUCAAUCAAAAUGAUCCAACUUUUAGUAUCACAUACAAAUUUUCACAUUCUUCAACUGUAUAUAAUUAUGUAAGAUAUGAGUCCCUCGGUCAAUAACAACUGACCAAGUUAACAUAACAAGAC